rnacentral:rRNA from 1 species
UACAGAGGGUGCAAGCGUUGUUCGGAAUUAUUGGGCGUAAAGGGCGCGUAGGCGGUGCUGUAAGUCUGUAGUGAAAUCUCUGGGCUCAACUCAGAGUCUGCUAUAGAAACUGCAGUGCUGGAGUGUGGGAGAGGUGAGUGGAAUUCCCGGUGUAGCGGUGAAAUGCGUAGAGUAUCGGGAGGAACACCUGUGGCGAAAGCGGCUCACUGGACCACAACUGACGCUGAGGCGCGAAAGCUAGGGGAGCAAACAGG